CCCAUUGGCAUAAACCCGUAGAUCCGAUCUUGUGGUGAAGUGGACCGCACAAGCUCGUUUCUAUGGGUCUGUGGCAGUGUG
ensembl:miRNA Mir99a microRNA 99a